AAUUUAAAGCGUAAUAAAUCCCAAAUUACUAAGGCUUUAAUGCCAUCUGUAGGGAGAAAAGACAAUUGUGAAAGGUUACCCAAGUUGCAUAAGACAAUGAAAAAGUAUUAAUUUUUAGUUCUCAGCUUUUUAUAUUUUUAGCUUUGGUUAUUCAGUUGAAUCAGUCAGGAUUAGCUAUUGAAUUAACAACAAUUGGCGACAUUUUUGGUAACAAAUGAUGGGUAAACGAUUAGUGUUUAAAAAGAGUCAUUCAAAUCGAGUCUCAUUCACUGGCGUUGGUUAUCAAAAUUAUCCCCUUAAGGGAAAGAGAGAGAGAGAAAGAAAAGGUAGCCAUUUUCUUUCUUUUUGAUCUUCCAUCCCGGAGAAAAGCGUUACUAUGGACAAAGCGAAAUGUGAUAUUUGGUGGUGAAAAAAACGAUAUCAAAUAAGGAGCCAUAUCAUAAUCAACAGCUUCAUUUUUGAUGAUGACGACUAUAAUAAAGUAAAUGCUAUGGUUUAACAAUCGCUUUAUGAAGUACUUACCUCAAACCAUUUGUCAACAUUGUUACUCUUUUUUUCACACUUAUUCACACUGCCAGUCCCACUUUUAUAAAUGUUUUCAUGAUUAUGCUUAACCGGUCAAACUAAUUACUCGACACAUAAAACCUUUUGACCAAUAGCAGCUCACAAGUUGACUGAAAAGCUGUCCAUUUGUUUUUAAAAUGGCUUCAUUUGUCGAUAAACUGUUGACUGUUUUCAUACUUUGAAUUUUGAUUUUCUGCUUCUUUCCUCCUUGACAUUUAAUAGGUUUCGCAUAAUAAUGUUUUUAAGUGUUUAGAGUUAACUCAACUAUUUAUUGAGUCUCUCCAUCUUUUGAUGAAGAUAAUGUUGAUGAAGAAAAAAGCUAAAAAUCAAGUCCAUUAGUCGAUGAUAGUGAUGAUCUAUUAAAGUGAUAGGAGGAAAGGAAGAAGUAUAUUGUUAAGGUAGUAAAAAAGUUGAUUGAUAGAUAGAUUUGGUUGAUUAAUAUCCAUUGAUGGAGAAGAGGAUAUAUCUCCCCAUGGAAACACCUAAUUGAAGGAUCAAAUAACAAUCAAGCUUUAAGGUACAGAUUAAGAGGCAGGGAGUUAACAAGGGGAGUUGAUAAGAGCGGAGGGAAGCCAAUAACACGGUUUCAGUGUUUGUGUAUAAAAUGAAAUGGACUUAAAGAGAUGUGAACGUCAAUAUGUUGAUUGUCUGGAUGAGAGUGAGAGAAGGACAUGGAUUUAAAUCAAGAGAUCAACAAGAAAGAGACAAAUUGUCAAUUUGGAAUCAACAUGGUGACAAGAGGGCUCAUUAUGACCUCUUCUCAGUCUCUCUCUUCAUCUUCCUCUUUUCCUCCUAACCUCUCCUCUUUCCUACUCAUUCACUCCUUUCAACCUACAGAGGCAGCGGAAAGUUUGUUAUUCAUGGUUAAAACUAAAAGUCGAAAGGCAGUUGCUUCGCCAUCCUUUUCAUGUGAAUAUCAUGUGAAAAUAUAUCAAUGAUGGCGAUUCAAUUCACGCCUUUCGUACUUCAACUGUCUCAAUUUUUGACAAAAUUAUCAUCACAUCUUUGACCAAUAUUUAUGUUUACUAAACUGUUGGGCAAGAUAUAAAGAUGAAGGUGAUGAUGAUGAUAAAGCAAUCCAUUUUUUUGCUGAUUUCAUUUUUCCUCCCCCUUAUCUUCUGUCAUCACUCCACCCACUGUCAAAUACAUCAAUAAAAUGUAUUAAAGGUGAUUGGGAAAAGGAAAUGGGAAUCAGAUAGCUUCUUAUAACCAAAAUAUACAUGCAUUAAUGUGUACAUUGAUAACAAUAAUGUAUACAAGGGUAUACCUCAAGGAGUAGAAUCAGAAGAAGAGAGAGAGAAGAUGAAAAUGAUGUGAUGAUGAAAGGCGAACAAAUAGAGUCUCAUUCGCUAAGUCACUGUGAAAUAGACUUGGCGAAUGAAGGGAAAAAUAGAGAUUUGUAACAAAGAGAAGCUUAAUUUUAAAUAUGGUAAUAUAAUAAGGCGAAGGAGGCGUUUAAGGGAAUCACGCUCUUGUCAAAUCUUUCCCAUUCUUGAAUGGAUGCAAAAAGAGAGGAAAAAAUGAACCAAGUAAAGAGUCACCAGAAAAGGUCAGAAAAAGGCCGUAGGUUGAUGCAGGUUUGCCGAGGAUGAUAUACUUGAUGGUGAAGAUGCUGAUGGCAAUGGCGACAGUGAUGGUAGUUGGAAAAAAAAGGACGGAAAAUGUGAUGUCGCCAAGUUAUUGUGUUGGUGUGAAGAGAGUCGAGAUGAACACAAAACACGGACAUGAUUGGCCGAGAAGGAGAGGAAGAGAUGGCAAGCCGGGACAAUGAGGCAAAAUAAAAGUGAACAUAUUGGGAGUGAGCUUUUCUUUUGGAGUGCGAACGACAAUUGAUUUAUUCAUUUUUUUUUAUUCAUGUAACAAGACUUCAAAUUGUCAGAUUAAAGCAGCCAAAAGAUUUUGCCCUUUUGUCAUCGUAAAUGGUUUGAAAAUGGCACGAAAUGUUUAUCAUCACCGUCACCAUCGAUAUCAAUUUUGUCCCAAUCUCACUGUUGCAAUAUUUAUUUGGCUCCAACCAACAAUAGCGCAAAACGAUUACUUUAUUGUUCUCACUAUUAUGAUUAACCAAAUAAAAACUUGAUCCUUCAAUAGGCAGACACACACACACAUCCAUUGGCCUGAAUGAUGAUAUUUUGACUGAUUUAACCUCAAACUGACUUAUAACAAUGAUUGAUUUACUAACUAUCAAACUCACCUUUUCUUAAAACCCAUUGUAAAUCAUACAAACGCUAAAAAGAGUAAUCAUUAACUAAUCAACAUAACAAUCAAUGGAUUAACAACGUAUAUUGAAAGGCACAUAUUCAUUGGAAAAGAAGAAGAAGGAAAAAGAAGAAGGAAAAGAUGAAAAUUGAAAUCCAUUUUGCUGUCCGUCUUUGGAUGGUUACUUGGUAUUCCUAUUGUCACAAUAAUCCUUAUAAUUGUCAUCACAAAUUGUUUUCAAUGGUAUAAUGAUUCAGUUGAAUACAAAUUUGUUUUCUUCUUCUGAAGACUGCGUAUAAAGGCGUGCUAUCCAGUGCUCCACCAGGUUGUAAGGCAUUCGUCAAAAUACUUUCUGUCAAGUAUACUUAAACCUCUUAUCAACGGAAAUGAUAAUUUGACCAACUUAUCCCGAAGAUGCAGAUGAAGAUAAAGAUGAUGAUGACUGUUGGCAAUGAACAAACUUACCCAUUGCUGUUGCCCUUUGCUUCCAAUAGCAUAAACGUUCACUAAUACAUUCACGGGAAUCGAGCUGCAAACAUUUUUUAAUAAGUUGACACAGAUAUUCAAUCAUUGGAGUUAUUACUUGUUAAUCUAAUGGUACAACACUUUUGGUUCACAGGGCAAUAUCAUCAUUUGUGUGUCCAUUUUCAGCCGCUGUAACGGUUUAUGGUUAAUGUAUGGCUCAAUGGUUCCUUACCUGUGUGAAAAUUUUCAGGAUAAUUACAGACUGACAUCCAGUGGAAAAGGGAUGAGAUGAAGAUGAUUAUCCAACAGCUUCUUGUUUUUACCUUCAUACCGUCCAGGGUCUUUUCAUCCUAGCCAUUGUUAAAUAAUAAUAUUAUCAUGAUAUUCAAAAAUAUAAUAUUAUUUUGGCCUCUUCAAAAGCGCAUUAUCAAGAGGCGAUAUUAUCAUAAACAUUCAAUGGGAACUUAUGUUAAUGUUGGACCAAUUUUUUGAUUUCAACCUCAAUCUUCUUCCAAUACUUACUGAUUGCAAAGACAAAAUGUUGCACUAACAGUUAACAGAUAUGUUUGUAUGGCGAUGAGAUGGUCUGUUAUGCUUUAGUAAUAAUUGUAAUAUGUUUAACGGAUCGGUGACCUGUUAACCUAUGGGAACAAAGUCAUUUGGUUUUAAGGUCAAUGGAAGAGUUUCACACCAGUUUCAUUACUCAGUUAAUAACCAUCUUUAACUUUUCCAAUCAACCUAUUAAUUAUGAUAAAAGUAGCGGUAAUAGUCAUUUAGAUUUGAUUAUUUCCAAACAAAUUGACUAGAGAAGCUACUUUCGCUUGAUGUUUUUGUGGAUUACCUUUUGUUGCCAUACUUGUUGACGUGACUUGAUACAAAAGAGGAGAGAAGAUCAAUUAAUAACAAAAGGAUAAUGAUGGCCAGGAUUAAAUAUUUGAUUUAUCCAUUUGAUGAUGAGAAAACUAGAGAUGCAGUUUGAUUAGGAAUAAAAGCUGUUUUAUUAUGGAUCAA